rnacentral:snoRNA from 1 species
GGCACCUACGUGUGUUUUGUCUUAACUUGUGGACUAAAACUUAAUGAACAGGUAUAAAAAAUAAAGCCUCUUUUGCAACCCAGAACUCAUUGUUUGGUAUGAGUUUUGACACGCAUAAGAAGGAAUAUU